ensembl:rRNA 5S_rRNA 5S ribosomal RNA
GUCUAAGGCCAUAUCACCCUGAACACACCCAAUCUCAUCUGGUCUCAAAAGUUAAUCAGAGGCAGGCCUGGUUAGCACUUGGAUGGAAGACAGGUCUUCAGAAGAGAGUGCUCAGAGCCAAGCA